rnacentral:lncRNA from 1 species
UCCCCGCUAACGCCGGCCCUCCCCGUCGGCACCCUCUUCCAUGGCGGCUUCUCUCACCCGGCACAGAUCUGAUGCUCGUCCGAUCACCCGCCCCCUCCACAUCGGCGCCACGCCCCCGACCGCGCGUCGCCAUUCGCCAUCACCGGCGCCCGCCCACACCGGCGCCGCCUCGCCGGCCCCUCCUUCCUCGUCGCCUCUCCGACCCCGUCGCCCUCGCGCCAGCUGUCAUCCCUGCACCGGACUAUGAGCCUCCAC